CUGCAAGAUUUGACCAAGCUUGCGUAAUUCGUACACAUGUGCCCUAACUAUUAGUUGUCAAAGUUGAUUUUGAAAAGUUGUACACCUUUCCAGUUCUAGUCAUCAAUUAAAGUUUCACUUUUAAUUUAUGUGACUUUUGAAGCUUUCAAAGCGUGUUGAGCGACACACCCUUCAUUUAAUUUUACACUCAUUAAGGCAUGUCUUCUCGCUUUCUUGAAACUCAUUAAGGUGUCUCUCAACUUUUCCUCUUCAAGCUAUAAGCUCAAAUUUUCAGGCAUCUUUCAAAGUUUCGAGGCUACAAGAUCUGGUGGCUUUCCUUCCAGUCGCCGCUUGGCCGCCGUGGAAGCUGCUAGCUAAGCUUCUCAGGCGGCUCCUGGAAGAAUCAGCAUCUGGUAAUCACCAAGGAAAAAUUUUGUUCCUCAAAGAGAGAAUAAGCUUGCUCUGUUAGGUUCUAUUUUAGAGGAAGGGGAUAUGGGAAGAUUAAAGUAAAAGCAUCCUAUUCCAGAUGAAUUUGAGCUUUUCACUGUGGGUAGCAGUAGAGCUAGGACUUUUUAGUUUUAUAUAAAGAAGACUUGAGAUUUAGCAUUCGCCUUCCUCUUCAAGGGGACCUAUAUGAGUAUCUCAAUCACCUAGGCAUCACCAUGUCUCAACUCGCCCCAAAUAGUAUCAGGAUAGUUUUAGGUUAUAGCAUUUUAACUUGCCAGGCCAACCUUGAAUUCUCUCCUUAUGUCGUUAGCGCUCUAUAUGCAUUAAGCUCUCUAAAAGGGAGAUGGAAAUAGAAUUUAUUUUAUUGUUAAGAAUUCAAAGGGAUUUGGUGUGGGGUUAAGUGGUCCAUUGAUGCUCGAUUCUUUCAUGAAGAAAGGUUGUUGACUGACAAUGAGAAAGAAAGUAUUGAUUUUUUUUGGCAAAAUAUGCCGAUAAACUUGUUCACCUUCAAGGUCUUCGACAUCAACAAUGCAAAAGGCACACAAAUGCAAAAAAAAAAAAAAAAAAAAAAAAA